UGGGAAUAUUGCACAAUGGGGAAACCCUGAUGUAGCGACGCCGCGUGGAGGAAGAAGGUCUUCGGAUUGUAAACUCCUGUUGUUGGGGAAGAUAAUGACGGUACCCAACAAGGAAGUGACGGCUAACUACGUGCCAGCAGCCGCGGUAAAACGUAGGUCACAAGCGUUGUCCGGAAUUACUGGGUGUAAAGGGAGCGCAGGCGGGAAGACAAGUUGGAAGUGAAAUCUAUGGGCUCAACCCAUAAACUGCUUUCAAAACUGUUUUCUUGAGUAGUGCAGAGGUAGGCGGAAUUCCCGGUGUAGCGGUGGAAUGCGUAGAUAUCGGGAGGAACACCAGUGGCGAAGGCGGCCUACUGGGCACCAACUGACGCUGAGGCUCGAAAGUGUGGGUAGCAAACAGGAUUAGAUACCCCAGU
rnacentral:rRNA from 1 species